AUGAAAGUCAAUUUUUUUCCUAACAAUUCAGAAUUACUAGGCAUUUUCUAUUUCUUUGCAUUCUGCAGCAGAAGAAUGUUUGAACUGUGAAAGUCCCACCCUCAAGUGUAAAAACCCCCGUUUGCUACAUAGUUCUUGGGAGCAAUGAUAGCACCUAAAAGAUUCCUUGUGAAACCGUGAGAUCUUUGCCUUGUCCCUGAAGGCACCCAAUUGGCAUAUGACAGAUUUGUGGUGGUGCAGUAAAAGGUACAGGAAAUCUGCUGAGGACUGCAAGGUUUGAUGCUGGAAAAACAUGGAGUAUAGAAACAGAGGCUUUAUUAUUGUUAUUAUUUUAUUCAGAAAAGGUUAUUCAUAAAUGUUCAAAAUAGAUACAGGCAUAAAUCUAGAAAAAAUAGCAAUGAGCAAAUUCUCUCUCACCUUUUCUUUUACAAAACUGUUAGCAUCCUUAUUCUGUUGCUCAGAUACGCAUGUUGCAUAUUUGCAAGAGCAGUUGAGUGGGCAGAGGCCCAGCGAGGUGGGCACCCACACGGAAGAAAGCCCUCCAGUCUCCCCGUGCGCUUUUUGACUUCCUUGCUGGAAAUUCUGCUCUAGAUAAUGUACAAGGGUUUUGCAGAAAUUACGUCUCUUGGUUUGAUACCAUGUUGACUCCUCAUUUAACUGGGUUUCUGCUUGGAUGUGAGCUCCAAAGAUGCCUUUUCUGCAUUGCUCCUCGCUGGCCCGCUCAGAAGAAGACCCACGCUGCAGUUUGGGAUGGAAUGCAGCAGCAGUAUGUUUUAAGGGGGAGGAGGGAGAAGGAAGGAUGAAGCAUUUAGAGUGCGUGCAGAUUUCAAGUGGAUGCCCUGCCUGGCUGCCACGAGGAGACAGGAACAUUAAUGCUGACCCCCACCGACAGGCUCUCUUGCAGCUGCAGCUGGAUAAAGAUGCUAACAAGGAAGAGUGCCUCCUUCGGCAAGGGAAAGCCAGUGAAAAACUAGCUGCUGUGACAGGUGAGGAAACAUAAAUCAGAUGUUUUUACAGUGAAGUUUUCCUGCUGAGCCUCUUGCCUGGCCUCCCCCGAUGCCUCACGCAUGGCUGCCACCAGUGCCCCCGUGCUGGCAGCAGUGGACUGCCCUUCACGCCUCAGAGCGUGCGGGGCUCUAUUAUGCACUCACAUGUCUCCCUCAAAAUUGGCACCAUCUGGACCACCACCUGAAUGUCAUUUUUUCUUGCACAGCAUCUCACAUGAUUUGCCAGCUUGUGUUUGUGAUUUGGAGGGGGUGUGUGUGAAAGGUGGUGAGAUCUGGCACAGUUUUUUUUGCAUAAGCAGUGCCGCUGACAGAACUUUUCUUUAGGAUUUAAUUGAUCUCUGCACCUCUUUGGAAACCUGUGCCACUUAUUCAGGGGAGCUCCCUAAAUCCAUGUCCCUCAACCUCCAACCAGGAGUAAGUGGAGUGCUGCGAGCCCUCUAAAAGAAUAAACACAUUGACCAGCCUAAAGACAACCUCAGAAAUAAUAAACAGCUUUUUGUUUGUAGUGCUUCUACAGGGAAAGGAAAGCAUGCUGGGACAGGUCUUGGAGAGACCAGUCUGUGUUGGGUGGCUGGUGGUUCAGGUAGUGUAGGCACCCACCCAGCAUCCCAUGGAUCAGCUCUCACUAACCACCUGCUCCAGGAUGCUUAGGUGAAACAAAUAUUGCUCCACCAUCUACACUGCAGUUAAAGCUCUGUUUAUACAAAAGUAACCACAAUGAGAAUCUUCUUUUUAGGGGUUUUCUGUAUUCCGGGACACAGACUCCUAAAUCAAAUUUUGAUUUCAUAAAUCUGACAAAUCCAGGCUGUUGGCCUGUUACUGUAGAGUACGUUCUUGUACCAGUGCUGCCUCUGCUACCAGCCAGUUGCUCUACGAAUGGCACAGGACAGUUAUGCAAAGGCCACCAUUCAUAUAGGCUAUACUGAAAUGGCACCUACACACACUGUCCAGCUGUACAGGAUCCAGUUAUGACCUGUUUCUCUUUCUGGGAUGAACAAUAACAAGUACAUUGGGCCACAGGGAGUGAAAUUAUUUGCAUAUACCAGUAAACCAGGACAGACCAUACGACAUUUAAUAAUGAAACUUUUAAAAUACUGAGGUUUUAAUCAUAGUAAAUAUACUACUUCUUAAAGGGAAGCUUGGAAAGGAAAGUUCAGUGCCUGCUGCCUUCACAGAGACCUUGAAGAAAUGAGUUGGUUGCAUUGCAACCAAUAAAUUACAAAAUUUCUAGUUAAAACCUCUUUGAAAUCAUGCUGCCUCACAGUGUAUGCCAACCAAACAAGGGUUUUAAAUGUUUUAGCAUAUGCAGACGCAGAGUCUUGUCACUACAUGUACCAUCACUAGUGAGCUAACCUGAGAGUCACACGUCUCUCCACCUUCCCUGGUACAAAAGACUGUGCAGUUGCUAUCAUUGUGGAAGCUCUGCAAACACACAGAUAUUUUCUAGAUACCUGUAAGCACUGAUCCUUAAGGACAAGGAGGUCUAGCUAUUGCCUUACCAAAGAAGCCGAUGGAGAGCCAGGAGCCAUGGAGAGCAGCACCAUCUCCAGAGACAAUACCAGGUGACCUGCAUGUCCAAGGAAAACUAAGCAAAUCUCCUUGAAUUUCAACUAUCCAAUGCCAGUAGCAACCGCCUUGUGAAUGAGCUGCAGAUCAAGAAUUUCUCCAGGAAUAACUCUCUGGCAAAUAUUAUGGUUUUAAAGCCUUUGACGAUCUGCUCUUCCUGGACUGGGCACAACUGCUGAUUCUUCUUGCAGUGUUCGGUACGACCCCUUUCUGAUGGGAGUCAGCUCUCCUUUUCAGCUACUGUGACAGAAUUGAAAAUGUGCCCAACAGGAAAGCUGGAGCGGGUUUGGCAUUGACUCUGUCUCCCCUUGGCACUCUUGCUAGGGUAAAUUUGCAACUGAAAUUCCAAAUUUGGCAAGAAAAGGAGGAACCAUUUUCCUGGCAGCCCUCCAUAGGUACUCAGGAGAGUGGAUGGGGGGGUGGUAGCCAGAGAACAGAUGGCAGUGUGGGAUGAAGGUAGGUAAAGUGGUCAAAGAUGUGCAAUAAAUAGAUUUAACAAAUAUGUUACACCACAACAUGUGUGACACAUGCGUGUAGUUUGCCACAAAGAGCAUGAUGCCAGGGCGAUGCCUCACUCACGCAAAUGACUGGGUAAUUGUGCUGUAUGGAUGAGCACAGCCCUUCUGUCUUCACAUUAUUAUGUUUUUCCUGAGUGAUCUUUUAAAGAAAGAGAAAGGCAGCAAAGUUGAUAGCAAUCUUUGAGAAACUGGCAUAUGAGAAGAGCCUCAGUCGUUAUAGUCUGAGAUGGGGAUAAGGCUGAAAAGAGACAUGAUAGUCCACAAAUAUCUACACUGUGUCACAAUGGAGAGUGGAUGUUGAUGCAAAGUGCAAUAAACUCAAGAUAACGCAAAAAGAUACAUAAAGGGAAAUACUUGGGGAAAAAAAUCUACAGUGCUGAACACCUUUGCUAUUUGUGGCCUACAGAUGGCUCUCACUGUUUUUAAACUUACUGAGAGAUGGCUUUUUAUUUUGUAUAUCAGAUGUUUGUUUUUUUCCUUGCAGUAAGAAUGCUUCAAGUAUGGAAAAAUGUGUUCCUGAGGGCAUUUGCUAAGGUCCCAUCCCUGGAGAUCGCAGAGGCGUGCUAGAUAAAGCAACCUUGGUGAAUAUUCAGUAGGGAAAAUCCUGCUGAUUACAGGGAGCAAUGCAAGAUGAGCUGCCAGGUCUUUUAUUAUCUAUGACUCCAUGACUAUUGGUAGUGAAGGGAGUUCUUGCACAAAAGCCUUUACUGGCUUUAUUUAUGCCAAGGCUGCUUCCAGGAAGGGGGAAUCCAUCAUGUCAGAGAUGAAUGCAAACACAGAGCUUUCUCUCUUGCCCUCUCUCUCCUUUUGGACUGUCCUUUCGUCUGACAUGGGGACUAUGGUGCUCUGUGUAUACUCUGCAACUCGAUUUGCUUAAGACUCCCCAGAAACAAAGAGACACUGAGGGCAGGAUCACCUUAAUAUAGUAACUUGACUGUUUUCUGGGAACUGCUUGCUUCAUUAGAAGAGGAAGUCGGGGGUAGGGGGAAGGCCAAGUCCCACGGGAGUGGGCUGCAGUGAUGCCCCGACGGCCAGGCAGGGAGCCAAGGGAAGGACGCUGAUCCAGGUCCCUUCACCUGCAGCCAGGGCACAUCAUUCCUGUGACCCAUUAGAGACUUCAAAUCCCUGGCAGAUGAAUCGAAAGGUCAUACACAAACCACUGCUACAGUGAUGCAAAAUUGCCACCAUAUUCAUCAGGUCAGUAAUACCCAAGGUAAGAAAGAGAAAGCCCACACAACCAAUUUCAUUUCCUAUUUGGUGCAGGUAACUCUAGCACUGCUCUUGCCAUUGCUUCCACAAUUUAGAAGCCUGUGUUUUGCUGUGCUGCUUUCCAUAAGGCUCUGACAACUCUCUAAUUAGACAGAAGGCAGCUAAGCCCUGCCCAGCUUUGGCUGAGAGGGCUGUUUUGCAGAGGGGGAGGCAGGGUGUAGCGGAGGAGUUCAGCAUCACAGCAGAGCGUCUCUGUGUCCAGCGGCAGGUCAUCACAGGAGGCCAGGCAUUUUGGGUAGGGUAGCUACCUACCCGAAAUGCAUAACAUGCAGAAGCUUAGGAAUUUGGCUACAGGAUAGGGCUUGCAGUUUGCAGGUGGCCCACAGCAGAUGAUCCAUCACACUGAGCGCAGAAAGAUGGGUUUUUCCCAUGUGUUGGGGGUAUGUGUAUGAGCAGGGCUGGCUGAGGGUCCUGGCAAGACAAGCUUUUUCUAGACUGCGGAAAGCUCUACUUAGCUUGAGUUGGCCAGACCACGCCCAAAAUCUGUCUGUGCCCCAGCAUGGAGGAUCUAACAUCUGGUAUCAGCCGUCGACUGAGGGAAGGACUUGAGGCCUUCCCUGCUGCCGUCUGUAUAAACAAAUAUGCAGCUGCACUGACAGACACACAUAUAGAAAAUGGUGUCAGAGAUUUCAGCUGUCCCGGAGGUGACAGAAUGGCCAAACAGUCCUCAACACAGUGUGUAGGCAAAUGCUGCAAACUUGCUUUUAGCAAGGUGCUGCCACUGCCUGAGCUCGGGAUGUGCCAGUCCUGCUCGUGGGCCAAGUUGUGCUGUGGGGCUGAGAUUCAAAGAAGGGUGAGUCCAAACCUGUGUACACAUCCCCCUCCCCCUGUUUUUGUGAUUGCAGAGCAGAUAUAGAGCUCAGUAGCCUUGCAUGUGGCAGCCCUUGAGGAGCAUUUCUUUCAGCCAAGAGACUGAUUCUUCAGCCGGGAAAUGUCAGUUUGACAAGCCCUUCAUGAGCUGCACGGACCAGCCUCUCUAAGAGCGGGGUCAGAGAAAACAAGAGUGAAGAGUGACGAGGGGAAAAGGCAGCUGAGAAGUGCAGGUGCUGAAGCAACGGGAUGUGGGGAAGAUCCAGUGUAACAGCGAUGCCGUGUGCUGCCAGCACGACACACGGAGGAGCACCGAUGCUCUGAUGAGCAGAGCUGCAGGAUGGCUUGAAGAAUGCUUUACCCUCCACUAAAGGGUACAAAGACAGCAAGUGGACACACCUAUUCUUCGCCCACCGUGCUGCAUAUUGUCUUAUGGCAAACUGACUUUUUCGAAGGACAUUUCAUACAGAGGUGAGGUUAACUUAAAAAAAAAAAUGGAAAAGCAGGAAAGGAGAUAAUAUAAAGGAAAAUAAAACUUGAGAAGACACACUGCUUUGGUCACGCAGCUGGAGACACUGAGAACAUGGUUAGGCCAAGCCCUGCCCAUGGAUGCAACCAGGACUCACACUGAUUCCAGCGGGAUUAUUCACAUGCGCAUGUGUGCAUGAGAGACAGAACAGAUUUGGACCUUAUUGCUUUGACU